rnacentral:rRNA from 1 species
AGAGUUUGAUCCUGGCUCAGAUUGAACGCUGGCGGCAGGCCUAACACAUGCAAGUCGAGCGGAUGAGGGUAGCUUGCUACCUGAUUCAGCGGCGGACGGGUGAGUAAUGCCUAGGAAUCUGCCCGAUAGUGGGGGACAACGUUUCGAAAGGAACGCUAAUACCGCAUACGUCCUACGGGAGAAAGCAGGGGACCUUCGGGCCUUGCGCUAUCGGAUGAGCCUAGGUCGGAUUAGCUAGUUGGUGGGGUAAAGGCUCACCAAGGCGACGAUCCGUAACUGGUCUGAGAGGAUGAUCAGUCACACUGGAACUGAGACACGGUCCAGACUCCUACGGGAGGCAGCAGUGGGGAAUAUUGGACAAUGGGCGAAAGCCUGAUCCAGCCAUGCCGCGUGUGUGAAGAAGGUCUUCGGAUUGUAAAGCACUUUAAGCUGGGAGGAAGGGCAGUAAGUUAAUACCUUCUGUUUUGACGUUGCCAGCAGAAUAAGCACCGGCUAACUUCGUGCCAGCAGCCGCGGUAA